UGCGUAGGGGGCAAGCGUUGUCCGGAUUUAUUGGGCGUAAAGAGCGUGUAGGCGGCUUGGUAGGUCCGCUGUGAAAACUCGAGGCUCAACCUCGAGAUGUCGGCGGAAACCACUUGGCUAGAGUCCGGAAGAGGAGAGUGGAAUUCCCGGUGUAGCGGUGAAAUGCGCAGAUAUCGGGAAGAACACCUAUGGCGAAGGCAGCUCUCUGGGACGGUACUGACGCUGAGACGCGAAAGCGUGGGGAGCGAACAGG
rnacentral:rRNA from 1 species